rnacentral:tRNA from 1 species
GUCAGGAUGGCUGAGCGGUCUAAGGCGCUGGGUUCAGUUCGCAGUCUCCAUUGGAGGCGUGGGUUCAAAUGCCACUUCUGACA